AAUCGUUGAAAGGUUUGGGCUGCAUUUCUAAGACCAAAACUCAUUCGCGGAAAUUCAUAUAGACCGAACGGCGUGAUAAUUGCCGUCUUCUCUAUGUCGUCGGGGUUUACAGGAAUGUUGUGAUAAGCUCUGCAGACGU
rnacentral:pre_miRNA from 1 species